rnacentral:tRNA from 1 species
GCCAGGUUAGCCAAGCGGUACGGCGACCGCCUCGAGAUCAAAACAAGGUAGCGGUUGUGCUUUCAGCACUCAGGGGUUCAAAUCCCUUACCUGGCG